rnacentral:snRNA from 1 species
ACAGCGAGCAGUGAGAACAUAGUGAACUAUUUUUUCGCCUUUUGCAACAGAAUACCGUGUUGUCAUCAUUAUGUCGUCUAAUAAUCAAUUAUAAUAUUAUGCUAUUAACAGAAUU